rnacentral:rRNA from 1 species
UGGGAACCUUCCCUAUGGUUCGGAAUAGCUCAGGGAAACUGGGGGUAAUACCGGAUAAGCCCUUCGGGGAAAGAUUUAUCGCCAUUGGAUGGGCCCGCGUCGGAUUAGCUAGUUGGUGAGGUAACGGCUCACCAAGGCAACGAUCCGUAGCUGGUCUGAGAGGUUGAUCAGCCACACUGGGACUGAGACACGGCCCAGACUCCUACGGGAGGCAG